rnacentral:rRNA from 1 species
AAAGACUGAACAUUUUAACUAAUUUAUUAUAUAUUAAAUUUAUUUUAAGUGUAAAAAAACUUUAUAUAAAAAGAAGACGACAGACCCUAUUGAACUUAACUUCGUUAAACUGGGACAGUAAAUUAAUUAAUAUUUUAAUUAAAAUAUUUAUAUAAAAGACUAAUAAAAUUAAUUAAAGACAGUUACCAUAGGGAUACGCGUAAUAAAAAUUUAAAGACUUAUUAAAAUUAAAAGAUUACGCCCGAGUUGAAUUAAUUACCUAUUUAACGCAAUAGUUUAAAAGGAGCGUCGACUUUUAAAAAAUUACA